rnacentral:rRNA from 1 species
AAUCAACGCUGGCGGCGUGCCUAACACAUGCAAGUCGAGCGCGAAAGCGGGGCAACCCGCAAGUAGAGCGGCGAACGGGUGAGUAACGCGUGGGUGAUCUACCUCCGAGUGGGGAACAACAUCGGGAAACUGGUGCUAAUACCGCAUGACAUCCUCAGGUCACACUGAGGAUCAAAGCCGGGACCGUAAGGCCUGGCGCUUGGAGAGGAGCCCGCGUCCGAUUAGCUAGUUGGCGGGGUAACGGCCCACCAAGGCGACGAUCGGUAGCCGGCCUGAGAGGGCGGACGGCCACACUGGGACUGCGACACGGCCCAGACUCCUACGGGAGGCGAGCAGUGGGGAAUUUUACGUCAAUAGGGCGCGAGCCUGACCCAGCGACGUCGCGUU